GUGAAUCAUAAAGUCAGACAGAGUAUUUCCUUCUCUCGACUUACUAUUCACGGACAAUGGGCUUUACGAAGGACCAGUUGCUUGCUCGCUUGAAGGAAAAAUAUGUCGGAGAUAAGGGAGGUGGCCUCUGUAAAAUUUUGUUCUUGAAGACUAGAAAAGUCGGUAUUAUAUUGUUUCCGCUUUGGUGGAUACGAAAGUAGAUAUGAAAGUGUUAUCUCGGAGGCUUGGUUUGGGAAAAGGAGGUACAAGAAUGGCUCCUGAAGAAGCACUGGGUGAGAUACUUCAGGUAUAUGCCUGGACUGUGCUUGAGUCCCUCCCUUAUCUUGUUUUUCCAUUGUUAUUUCCUUGUUACUGGCAGUUUUUUUUUUCUAUCCUUGCUUGCACUUGUAUUUGUAGCCUUGACUUCUUACAGCCUGGAAUAGGAUGCUAGACAAAAUUCUGGAAAUGUGAACGAGAUUAUGUUUCCUCUUUUAACUCUCCUUGGAUCUGAGAGAAAUUAAAUUGUUUGUAGGAAUAAACUAGACUCCUUAAGUUUGGCUAUUCUUAUCUGGUGUAAUGUUCCCACUGCGGAUACAUAUGAAGGCAAUCACAUCCAUGAUUGUGUUGCAGUGCCACACCUUAUGAAAGCAUUUCUUAAUUGAAGAUUAUCAAGCAACCUGCUCGAUGAGAGGGAAAUAUUAUAGAAUCUAGCUACAGGAGAUUGGUGGGAUGCAUAAGGUGAAGGAAUUGAUGAAAUAUAGUGUUUUCUCAGAUGCUGGAUUAUUUGUGGAAGAGAUUCUAAAUAAGACAUCAGCUCUAUUACUUUCAGAAGUAAGUGUAGUACAGUAUGCUUCUUCAGUCCUAACCUAGUCAUAUUUCUGAGUAAGACUAGUGGAAUUUUUCUACGCUGAUCACAGAGGAAGCUGUCAAGAAGAAUGGUAAUCUAGGAACUGUGGUUGCUGACAAUAUUAGAAAGCAGCUUCAUUCAGAUUUGCAAAGCAUUUCUGUGAGUAUUGUCAUUCCCACUAUUUCACAAAAAAAGAAAAGAAAGGAAAGGAAAGGAAAAGAAACCUUGUAAGAUCUUUGACUCAUUCAUUCAUUUUUACCAUCAAAGAUAAGCUACCUCUACCAUCAAAAGGCAUUGCCUGCAAGAUCUUUGACUCUUAAGCAUGAUCUCUUGCCUAAAAGAUGGAACAUGUGGCUGUGGAUGCAUAUUUUCUACAACACCUAUAUUCAUGAGAGGGCUAUUUUAUUUUAUUUUAAUUAUUUUGCAGAUGAUGUUUAAGAACACAGCCUAUACACAAGUGUUUCAUGCUGGUUCUCAACGUGGUUUAUAGCUUUCUCUUUGUAUCCUUUUGCAACUAACAGGAACGAAUGCCAGAGAAAAUAUGUACUGAUCUUUGUUUGUCAAAUAGGGACUUUGAGCAUGUUGACAAUGACAGAAUACCUUGAGAAAAUACCUCUUCAUAAAUUUCUUAGGUUACACAGUUCUAAAUGUUUUCAUGGAAUUAAUCGUGUGAUUUGCAUUUAUACAGCUUAUCACGGAUAUUUCAAUGAAAAAGAGACAAUUUAUAAUGCAAAUGCAUUUGACAACCACUUAUGAAGCUGUGAAUGAA